CUUGACUGUAUCUUGGAAUUGGGUUCGGGCUUUUCUUGCGCAGACUAGGUGGGAGGCUACGAAGAUUUUCUUCCGGGAAGGUUGGAGCCAACAGUGAGAGACCACUCUGGAGAGGCUAGAAUCCUAAUGGUGAUCCUUGAAUCAGGACACUUGACAGUUUCAGGUGGGCAGUUUUUCUGGGGCGGAAGCCUCAUAAAAGGUAACUGAGGCGCGCAAAGGUCCCCUCAGUCUGGACGGAAAUCAGACAUUGAGUGUAAAGGCAAAAGGGGGCUUGACUGCAAGACCUACAAGUCGAGCAGGAGCGAAAGCUGGCCUUAGUGAUCCGACGGUGCUGAGUGGAAAGGCCGUCGCUCAACGAAUAAAAGUUA
rnacentral:rRNA from 1 species